UUGGCUAUUCAAAUUAUGAUAUGAACAUUUGAAAUAUAAUUUAGAAUAAUCUUUCCUUUGCCUGGAUACUUGAUCACAAAUGCUCAGCAUAAUUUCAAUAGCCAAAUCUCAUAGUGAUAACAUAUUUUUCAGUUGCAAAAUGCAAACUCAAAUCUUUGGUCAGAUACAUCACGAGAAGUCGCUGCAUAUGAGCAAAACAAUCAGGCUGAAGGUUAAUUAUAACUUUUUGCUCUGUUGGAGUCAGUAAUGUUUACUCGUGUAUAGCAGAAGAAAACAGGUGGUCCACAAAGAAAAAAAAAAAACGUAAAAUGCAAUAAACAAUUUCACAUGAGGCAUUCACACUCACUUAUACACGUACAGUACAGUGAACAUGAUUGUGACAGUGAUUUCAUUUGCUUUUUCACUUUCAGUUCCAAAAUACCAAACCAUGAGCAACCAAUUCAUCUUUUCUCUAAACACACAUAGUGAAAAAAGAGCGAUCAAAUCCAUACUGCAGAAUACACACCCUACAACCUAUACAGAUGCACUCUAAUGCCAAAAUAAAAGAAUUAUAACUGAAGGAAGAUUCUGAACAGUGAAUAAGCAGUUAAAUAUCUCAGUAGUUCAACUGCGUUCUGGAAUAUAAUGCUGGCUUCAAACACUGCUCAGAGCAACACUAAAGUCCAGCUAAACUGCUGGACUGCGGAACACGAUUCAUGAUUCAAAUCACAUUACAGCAGAUUAUUUUCUGGGAAAAACAUCUUAAAUACAUUCAAUACAAUACCAUGUGUUUUGUAGCUGGAAUAUUAUCAUAUGUGCUACCAGCAAACAUAUAUUUCAUACAUCAGGCUUUCUGUCUUUAACGCCUGGAUGUAAAGUGCCGCUUCUCUUCAUGUUGUCUCACAUGAGAUUUUUUUACAUUGACCUCUGUCUGCAUAAAAGGGGAGUCGUUGCAUUUUAUGUUAUAUAUAAAUAAAUUCUACCAUCUAUAAAUACUAUAUUUGGUUUAGGCUAGAGCACUUGUGCUCUAUAAAAAAAAAAAAAAAUACCAUUACCACCUCACAUCACUUUUCUUUUAUUUGACUGAUUUAAAAUGACAAAAUAUGGGCUAUCGGUUAAAUUAAAAAACACGAAGUUACUGAGUCCAGUGCCGUUUCCUGCAGUGCCUCCUGGUCCAAACUCUCACCUCAAGACAAAAUAAAAACAGGAAUGAUGCCACAGCAGACAAAGCGUGUGUGUGUGUAUGGGUUCGGGCCGAACCAAGAUGGUCAUUUUUAGACCGCUCAGGUUUCUGAAGCCAGGUGGAUGUGUAAACAGAUGCCCAGUGGACUGAGCUGCUGGGCAAGAAAAAGGCAGUUUGGCUUCAUGUGCCGGGAGGAAGACACAAGACGUACAAGUGGAAUGAUUUAAAACGUCACACGGACACGCUUACAUUCACCAAAAUAGACACAGAUCAACUUACGACACACGCAUGCGCUCACACGGACACGUCUCAAACGUGCUUGUGCGUGUCGCUGAAUAAAACGCAGUUUAAUAAUUAGAAACUCUUUCCUUCUAGAGCUUUGAUAAGUGUUCUAUGUACACAAAUUAACAAUAAAUAUAUGCAACAACCUCUCUCUAUAUUGAAAUAUAUAUUAAAUCUUGAAUAAAGUAUAUAUUUCAAACAUAUUCAUAUAUUUUCCUACAUCUUCAAAUGAAUCAGGAGAUAUCACAGUUUAGUAAUCAAAAACUAAGAACUUUAUCCAUCUUCCUGGCUGCGGUGUCCCUUUUCACACUCUUUCUCUGGUGCAAAAGCACUUUAGCAUAAUGGUCAACGCUUCACAGAAAUUUAAGGUCUCUGUUUUUAGCGCAAAUUGCCCUUUGGCGGAAACUAUUUAAACUUUCUAGUGCAGGAUUAUCAAGGAAACCAGCCCUGAUACUACAGC